UUUUAAUUGUUUUUCUCCUCUCCUUCCUAACCGUCUUGUCCGCACCACCGCUUGUCGCGAUGGCGUCUCCCGGCCAGGAGUCGACUCUUCUGGGCGUGUUCGACGGCAAGCUGGACGACUCGAAGCAUCGCUCGUCCUUCCUGACCAACAAGGCGGGAGGCCUCCCGGACGCGACGCCGGGCCUCCCCCGCGCGUCUCCCCGCUGCGGCCGCUGCUCGGCCCCGCUUGUCCACGUGGUGCAGGUGUACUGCCCCCUGGGGGGCUCGCCCUACCACCGGACCCUCCAGCUGUUCGCCUGCGCGGCCGCCGACUGCGGCGGCCGGCCGGAGAGCUGGGCGGCGCUGCGCUCUCAGAGCCUGGAGGCGGAAGGGGGAGCGGCGAAGGAGGCUCCUCUGUCGGCUAGUGACUGGUGCGACUCCGCCGAUGACUGGGGCGCGAUGGAGGAAGACGUAGCGGAGCCAGUCCCGGAGGAAGAAAAAGAGGACGUUGGCCGCCCGUACGACCUCGCUCUGGCGGAGCCCGGACCGGACGUUCCCGUCCUGCGAGCGUUCUUCAUCGGCGUGCUGGACGAGCGGGACGUCGAGGCCGAGACCGAGGAGGAGGAGGAGGAGCGGUCGCACGCCGACAAGCUGCUGAGGGACUACGAGAGGCGGGAGGGAGCGGUCGCCGCGGUCUGCGAGACCUACGAGAAGAGCGGCGCGCGUCACGGGGACCGGGCCUUCUCCAGCUUCCGGAAGAGGAUCUCGGCGUGCCCGCGACAGAUCCUGCGCUACUGCCGCGGCGGGCGACCGCUACUGAUGUCGGCCCACGAGACGCCGCCGCCGCCGCCCUGCGAAGCCUGCGGCGGCCCGCGGACCUUCGAGCUGCAGCUCAUGCCGGCGCUCGUCGGUCUGCUGAGUUGGACCGGCGGAACCGAGACCGGGUCGCCGCCUGAGUUCGGCACGGUGCUGGUCUUCACCUGCGCCGCCAGCUGCUGGACGUCCUCGCGGCGGCGACCCGUCGGCGAGUUCUGCCGGGUCCACAUGGACCCGGACCAGGAACUCUUCAAAUGAAGCGGCGGCAGGAAACAACCGAGCAACUCGAAAAAGGAGGAGACGGGAGGACAAGACGUUAGGCAACAAACUGGAAGCGAAGUCGAAAAAUGGAUUUGUAAGCGGCCGAGAGAAAAGUUGCAAGCGUCGCGUCUGCCCAAGGUCAGGGCGCCGCGGGCGGUCCGGAAGUCCCACCGACCGGCAGGGUACGGGUCCGGCGGGCCGUCAUCGACGGCAAACGCGGAAGGCGAGCGAUCGGGAAGUCGCAGGCAACGUGAAACAGAACCUUAGAAAAUGCCAUUUUGGAUUUCUUCCCUGAGAAAAGGACAUUUUUGAAAAUACGUUUUUCAUUUUUCUUCAGGUUGGACUGACACACACGCACACAUGGGGAAAAAUACACUUACACACAAAUACACAUACUUUUUUCUUUUUCUUCAAGUAAUAUUUUCCAAACUUUUAAUGCCAAUUUGUCUUUACCGUUAUGCCUAGAUCAGACUACAGGAUUUUAGCCCUGAUAUUAACCCGAUUAGCUAUCGCAGCUGGUUUCCUUGAUCGGGCCUGACAUUUUUUGUGAGGAACAACAAAACUUGUUGUAGUGUUGACAUAAUCCACGACCAAUGAUUUGGCCCUACGAUGCCAAAAUGAAAAGUCUAGCAUGUUUGAUUUAUUUUUUGGAUAUCUUCCGUAUAGUGGGACAUCAACGACAACUCUCCGACAGCGCACCUCGACGUCGACCAAUAGGAUUCCGUACUGUGACCGGCACAUCGGUGCUUGCCAUUGUCAACAUUUAUUCACGCGGACGAACCAAUGUUUACCGAAGCUUUAGCGCAUGAUUCGACAGAAUGCCGGCAUGUUUAUGUACAACCGUUAGUGCUAGCACUAGCUUACUAGGCUACAUAUCGGUUUGUCGCCUGCCUGCGAGCCGUAUCGUAUUAAAAGUAUGUGAACAUACCCAGAGGUAAAUAUUGUACUCAAGUAAGAGUACUGUCACUUUAGAAUAAUAUGACAAAAGUAAAAAGUAGUCAUCCAAAUAUUUACUUGAGUAAGACUAAAGUACUCAAUGAAAAAACUACUCGGAGUAACUUGUGGAUUGCCUUCACGAUGAACGCCUGAAAUUUAAAAUCAUCAAGAAAAAACAGGACUCGAAGCGCGGCUGUUUCAGCGUACCGACAACAAGGCGGCAUCAAAAAUUGCAACAUCAGAUUUCUUGAUUAUUAUUAUUAUUUUCUUUACCAUUAUUGAUCACAUGUACAGAAAAUGGAUGGAUGGAUGGUAUGAAAAUAACCCAUCCAUCCAUUUUCUUUACUGCUUCUCCUCACGCGGGUCGCGGGCGUGCUGGAGCCCAUCCCAGCGAUCUUCGGGCGAGAGGCGGGGUACAACAGCCAAUCGCAGGGCACAUAGCGACAAACAGCAUUGGCACUCGCAGUCCCACCUACGGGCAAUUUCGAGCCUUCAAUUAACCCGUUUAAUGAUGAUAAUAAUCCAGACUACAAAGCAGGCAAACGUGCGGUCAUGACAAUGACGACAUUGCCAUCUGGUGGACACAAAGUGAAAUCACAGCGGUUCAAGUUUGUGAUUACAUGCAAAGUGUGUGUGUCUGUAUGAUUGUGUUGCUGUCUGUGUUUGUGUUUCUCUGUGUGUGUGUAUUUGUUAUGUACUUACUACACUUUGUGUGCGUGUCGGUGUAUGAAUGUGUUCACUUGUGAGGGUGCGAGUGUAAUUAAAUGUUUGAGAGUGUGUCUGGACAAAAAAAAAACGCGUGUGUGUGUAUGUAUGUAUAUGUAUGUACGUGUGUGUGUCUGAGUAUGUUUGUGUAUCUGUGUGUUUAUAUAUGUGUGAGUGUAAUUAAAUGUAUAUGUGUGUGUCUGUGGACGAAAAAACGUGUUUCUGUGUGUGUGUGUACCUAUGUGUGUGUGUCAGCAGUGUUUGCGCGUGUAAGUCGAAGGUUGAGCGGAACAAUGGUGCCAGUGAGGAGACGCGUCGGAGAUCCCGCAGCUGUCGCACGGGACGCUCCGGCCGUGAGGGGAAGCGGCACUCUUUAUCUCUUAAAACAAAGCUUCACAAUACUUGUAGCUUUGCACUUUAUAUAUCUUGCACUUGAUUAAGUUUUGAUUAAGUUUUGAACUUUCAUUCCAGGAGGGAUGUACGGGUUACAUUCAAGUUUUUCAUCAAACUUCUACUUAGUUUUCUUAGGAAAAAGUAACAUUGGUAUGGGGGGGGAUCAUAAAUUGAAUUUUUGGUAAAAAAAAAAAUCGGAGUUAAAAUUUUUAGGCCAUAUCGCCCAGCCCUACCUGCAUCCAAAUAGCAAAUCUUUUUUUCGCAUUUAUGACAGCAUCAAAGGAAAGCGACGUCAUUGGACGCAACAAGUCUGGUAGCGUAGACAGGAAGUGGAAAACAAAGAUAGGCCAGGAUGUUUUUCAAGGACGCUGUGAGACGAAAGAACAAAAAACUUCUGGACCGAACGGGAACACGAACCCGAUCCGGUUAGUCGUCGUCGUCGUCGCGGCUGGGAUCCGCUUUCGCUGGCCACGCCUCACAAACGCGUCUGCGCGACAAGGCUGUGCUACGUGCACGCACACGCGCGCGCUCUCAAGAGAGAAAUUUACAAAAUGUAAAAAAAAAAUGGCGUUUUGCACAUGUUCACUUGGACAAAUCAGCAAGAAAUUAUUUGAUAUUCAACAUGUGAGAUCUUACGUUUUGUGUGUAUACCAAAAGUUACAAGCCGAGGUCAAAUGUCAAGGUCACGGCAAUGUCAAACAAGUCAAACACAAAACAGUGGAAUUCAUGCGCAAUUUUCAUUGUUCGAUUGUCAGACACAAAACGGGUACGGCGGCGCUCGGCUGAGGAAUUUGUAUUGCUGAUGGAACGUUGACGCAGGAGGCCGUCGUCUGAGGUCAAAGUUCAAAGUCAAAAAACAAAGUGCAACAAACCGCAUCAAGUCACACGUCAAAUUAAAGGUCUCGACGAGUGCGUUCCAGAUCACACAUUGGCUUGUGAAUAUACGCACAUAUGGUGGCGUUAUAUCGUAAAUAGGCAAGUAAAAAGACGUGCGCGUGCGGAUUGUUUGAGGUACAGCAUCUAACAUUUUUACAAGCUUGAAGAUUGCCAAGUAUCAAAAUGUCUCAUCUUGUUCCGCCUUUGGUCCUGCACCGUCCACACAUGCACGCGCGCACGCUCAAAGUGCAGCGUGUAAUCCCCCGGCCUCGCUCGCUUGUGCGUAAUUGACGCUGCAGCUGUCCGCUGGAAGAAUUGAGAAAUUGUGCGCCCGAGUUCAGCUGUGCGAACAAAUGUGUCACAAAUGGGAAAACAAACGAUACAACAAAAAAACGCACGCCGGAGUGCAAAAAUCUUACGAGAGCACAAGAGCAGCGAACGCACCGCAGCUCUGCACUUCUUCACGAAGCGCACGUCGGCGCAUGUCGCCACGUACCUUGAAUGUGAACAACAUUUAGGAUUCGAGUGUGUGGCGAAAACGCAGAUGUGCGAGUGUCCUUGAAUGCAGCAGCGUGACAUUUUGAAUGCGCCGAUCAAGUCGCUGGCAGUGCCGAAUCCUGCCAACUUUCAUUUACUCGCUCGUGCGUUCUACGUUCAUGUAUUCAUAGUUGUUUGUUUAUUUGAUGUUGUUUUGAUGAGAUUUACUUUUUGUUUUAUGCCAGGUGGUGUUUUCCCCCUGCUCGUCAAUGUUAAUUUGUCCUGCUUGUUAGGUUCUUGUUUGCACCAGUUUUCCGUCAGCGCUGCUCCUCGCAUCGACCAAUCGGAUCGCUCUGGCCGCCGGCGUCUUGUCCGGGUGUGCCUCGCUGGCCCGUCAGUUUGCUUGGAUUUCGUUCCGUCCAAAACACAAAAACUCACAGUUGUGAAUUCACUCAUUGACAGACCAUGCAUUAGUUCGUUCAUUCAUUCUCAACUCAACUUUAUUUAUAGAGCACUUUAAAAACAAAGCCACAGUUGUACAUAAAUAAAAAGCAACCAUAAAACAUAAAAUACUUAAACAAGAACACAUAAUAACAAUACUUAACUCGUUCACUGCCAGCCUUCCUAGUUAACAUGGAUAUUUGACUUCGAAAGCCGUCAAUGGCAGUGAAUGUAUUAAAAACAAUAACAAAGUGAAAAACAAAAAAAUCAGACGAUACGAAAAUGCAAUUCAUUCAUAGAUGAAGCUAAUUGAAUAACUAGUUAAUAGAUGAUGCAGUUGUUUCAUUAAUUCACGGCUCAAAUCAACUGAAUUUUUUUUUUUGUAGAACACUUUUAAAAAAAAAAAAAAAAAAAAGCACAGCUGAAACUAAAUUCUGUACACUAAAAACAAAAUCAGUUGAAUUAACUUCAUUUGAACAUGUACAUCAGUUGCAAACCACUAACAUUUAAUUAAGUAACAUGCAGUCUUUGAUUCCUCACAAGGGAAGCGGACAAUUACAUCAGUUUACGACAUUUUAAUCAUGUGCAACUGAACGUUAAGUACUUUUGUGUAUGUAGAUAAAAAUCGGACAUAAAACACUAACCAAUUCAAAACGACAAUUAAAACAAUCCAAACAUGUACGUUUGUAGAUGUGACGAGCGGUGCCCUGCAGUCGUUUUUGUCGGAGCCUGGUGUCGCCCUCUCGCCCUGUCUCGGUCUCGUCACAGUAAUCGGUACCACCUCGGCCGCGCACCUGUCAUCGUGUUCCUCCACGCUGCGUGCCUCAACAAGCCGCCAGCAUAUCUCAAGGACCAUCUCCGUUCCCCUUUUGCAAUCAAUUUUUCUCCACAACCUGCUCUUGGGUCCCGUCUGAAUCAACUCGUGACAAUAGACGAUACAUUCGUUCAUCGCCGAUGUAUUCAUACAUUCAUUCAAUUAGAGAAACUUCCUUUGUUGGUUUAUUCAUUCAUGUGCGAUACACGAAAUUCAUUCAUUCAUCAAUAGCCAAUACACAAUUCAUAGAUGAGUCAAACCUUCAUUCAUUUCUCAUCUUUCAUCCAUUCGUGAAAAACGCACGUUUUGUCUGAACUUGACGGUGCAUUUAGGGACCCCGGUGAUUCCAGCGCGUCAGUGAUCACGUGACUUAACGUCGUCGCGGUUACGCGUGCAUGAACUCUCUUCCAACGACUUGUCGCCACAACUCAACUUCUUUGAAAAAACGUCGGCACUUCCUGUAAAUGUGACAGUCAUCUUAAUGAGUAUAUCACAUACAGUACAUGUUUGUGGCCAUGUGACCGUGUCACCAUUACCGCCGUACUUUCAAUGUCUUUGUGUUCCUUUUUUUUUUUUUUUUUUUUUUUUUUUUUAAUUUAAAAAGAAUUUGAUCUGACCUUGACUUGUACACUCUGACCUUGUGACUUUAUGGGGCGUUCAGGCGCAUCUCUCAGAAGCAAGUUAACCAGGGCUCGGCGAACUUUUGUGCUCCAGAGACAAUAUUGUUCAUUUUACCAUGAUUUAUUUUACUCUUUAUUU